rnacentral:rRNA from 1 species
AACGAACGCUGGCGGCAGGCUUAACACAUGCAAGUCGAACGCAUCCUUCGGGGUGAGUGGCAGACGGGUGAGUAACACGUGGGAACGUACCUUUCGGUUCGGGAUAACCCAGGGAAACUUGGGCUAAUACCGGAUACGUCCUUAGGGAGAAAGAUUCAUUGCCGAAAGAUCGGCCCGCGUCUGAUUAGCUAGUUGGUGAGGUAACGGCUCACCAAGGCGACGAUCAGUAGCUGGUCUGAGAGGAUGAUCAGCCACACUGGGACUGAGACACGGCCCAGACUCCUACGGGAGGCAGCAGUGGGGAAUAUUGGACAAUGGGCGCAAGCCUGAUCCAGCCAUGCCGCGUGAGUGAUGAAGGCCCUAGGGUUGUAAAGCUCUUUCGGCGGGGACGAUAAUGACGGGUACCCGCAGAAGAAGCCCCCGGCUAACUUCGUGCCAGCAG